GACGAACCGUGCGAACGUUGUUCGGAAUCACUGGGCGUAAAGGGUGCGUAGGUGGGUCUUUAAGUCAGGGGUGAAAUCCUGGAGCUCAACUCCAGAACUGCCUUUGAUACUGAAGAUCUUGAGUUCGGGAGAGGUGAGUGGAACUGCGAGUGUAGAGGUGAAAUUCGUAGAUAUUCGCAAGAACACCAGUGGCGAAGGCGGCUCACUGGCCCGAUACUGACGCUGAGGCACGAAAGCGUGGGGAGCAAACAGG
rnacentral:rRNA from 1 species